GACGAACGCUGGCGGCGUGCUUAACACAUGCAAGUCGAACGAAGAGCGAUGGAAGCUUGCUUCUAUCAAUCUUAGUGGCGAACGGGUGAGUAACGCGUAAUCAACCUGCCCUUCAGAGGGGGACAACAGUUGGAAACGACUGCUAAUACCGCAUACGAUCUAAUCUCGGCAUCGAGGAUAGAUGAAAGGUGGCCUCUACAUGUACGCUAUCACUGAAGGAGGGGAUUGCGUCUGAUUAGCUAGUUGGAGGGGUAACGGCCCACCAAGGCGAUGAUCAGUAGCCGGUCUGAGAGGAUGAACAGCCACAUUGGGACUGAGACACGGCCCAGACUCCUACGGGAGGCAGCAGUGGGGAAUCUUCCGCAAUGGACGAAAGUCUGACGGAGCAACGCCGCGUGAGUGAUGACGGCCUUCGGGUUGUAAAGCUCUGUUAAUCGGGACGAAAGGCCUUCUUGCGAAUAGUGAGAAGGAUUGACGGUACCGGAAUAGAAAGCCACGGCUAACUACGUG
rnacentral:rRNA from 1 species